CGCGUAGGUGGUUUGUUAAGUUGGAUGUGAAAGCCCCGGGCUCAACCUGGGAACUGCAUCCAAAACUGGCAAGCUAGAGUACGGUAGAGGGUGGUGGAAUUUCCUGUGUAGCGGUGAAAUGCGCAGAUAUCAGGAGGAACACCAAUAGCGAAGGCAGCUCGCUGGGACGUAACUGACACUGAGAUGCGAAAGCGUGGGGAGCAAACA
rnacentral:rRNA from 1 species